rnacentral:lncRNA from 1 species
CCUCAGGACCCCUUUUUAAUAUUCGUGGUUUAAUAACCCAGUUUCUAUUUCUUUUUCCCUUAGGUGAAUCUGGAGUCACCCUCUAUUAUCUCAGGCUGGAGUUUCCUUGCCUUGUUUGUUUACCAUAGGGGAGGUGAAGGCGCAGGGACAACGCAAUGCCAUCUGAAGUUAAAAUGCUCUGGACUUGCCUGUGCCAUCCCUCAAAGUCCUGCCUUGCUUGCUUGCAGAGGUGGGAUGCAGGAGACCACUCAAUACUCAGCAGAGAGGGAUGGAUUCACCUUGCCUGCUCCUCCCUCUCACCAGGGAAUUAUGCACUGUGGUAGAGGAAGGACCUCUGGUGUCCCCACAGAUAGUAAGCUUGAGUCAUGAUGUGAAGCCUCAUUUUUCAGCCAACCUAAAGGUGAGGACCAGCUGCCCCUGCUGCACCUGGGUGACUGUUCAGAGCAGAAACAGAGUGAAAAGGUCCUGUUGGCAACGGGCAUCUGCGUGUCUUAACCCACUGACUGAAAGGGCUGUGUGUGCUUGGGAUGUGCCGAGGGCUGGACUGUGGUACGGUCAUCCCGGGGUUAGAUCCCCAUUGUAAUAGAAGUUGUAAACACACAGAGCACUUCUGUACUCUUGCUAGGACCAUUUAAUCCAGCUACAGCUGGCAAUGCGAACAGUAAAGAUGCAGUGGCAGCAGUUUUAAAUCACGCUGGCAGCCUGGCUGCAUGCUUUGGUUGACCUGUGCUGUUUCCUGGCCCACCCUGCCAUGUCACUGCAGAUAAGGAAGAGAAUAAAAACCACCAGCAUCAUUCUGCCA